UUGAAAGAAAAAGACGAAGAAGCUGUACACGCGUCCAUUGUUUUAGAAUGAAUGCAACAAACAAUGCAAUUGCACUUGAUUGCCAAACAGCUAGCCUUUUAUCAUCCCUCUGGAGGUAACAACAAAGUUGAGUAAAUUCAUCUCCACCGUUAAUUAAUUCGCAUUUAAAUACACAGACUCGUCUAACCAGCUCUCCUCGCAGAAGAAACAAGUGUUUGUGUUGAAGGAAUUAAAAUUCUCUGAGCUCUUCUGCAGGACUCUCCAAAAUGGUACAAUAAAUUGUAGUAUUGAAUAUAAUUGUAGUAUAUAUCCAUGUCGAUUUAAGUAUUUGAGUUUAAUUUUAAUCGUGUCGUGUACUUUUGCAGCUGGGUAUGAUGAAAUUACUGGUGGUCGGAUCAGUAGCAGAAUUUGUAACUGCGUUCUUGACAGAACCGUAUGCCAUUGUACUGCAUCUGUUGAGUUCGGUGGCAAUCUCUUUCUGCAUAAUGGAUUAUCUUAACUCACUUGACUUGUCACAAAUGUUCUAUUUAUUUUCAGUAUUUCAAUGAACUUGUUUCAUCUGUAACAAAGGAGGGACAGACAUUAAUUAGUAGUACAAUCCAGGAGGAUAAAGAGUGGUGAGAGUCGC
rnacentral:lncRNA from 1 species